UCGUGAGAUGUUGGGUUAAGUCCCGCAACGAGCGCAACCCACGUCCUUAGUUGCCAUCAUUCAGUUGGGCACUCUCGGGAGACUGCCGGUGAUAAGCCGCGAGGAAGGUGUGGAUGACGUCAAGUCCUCAUGGCCUUACGGGAUGGGCUACACACGUGCUACAAUGGCGGUGACAGUGGGACGCGAAGGAGCGAUCUGGAGCAAAUCCCCAAAAGCCGUCUCAGUUCGGAUUGCACUCUGCAACUCGAGUGCAUGAAGGCGGAAUCGCUAGUAAUCGUGGAUCAGCAUGCCACGGUGAAUACGUUCCCGGGCCUUGUACACACC
rnacentral:rRNA from 1 species